rnacentral:sRNA from 1 species
CUUCUAUCAACCCUGCUUAGGAUGAGAACAAGUUGAGCAGUGCCAACGGCCAUGAAGAACGUAGCAAAAAGAGGAAAAAAAGCAAGAGCAGAAGUCGUAGUCAUGAACGAAAGAGAAGCAAAAGUAAGGAACGGAAGCGAAGUAGAGACAGAGAAAGGAAAAAGAGCAAAAGCCGUGAAAGAAAGCGAAGUAGAAGCAAGGAGAGGCGACGGAGCCGCUCAAGAAGUCGAGAUCGAAGAUUUAGAGGCCGCUACAGAAGUCCUUACUCCGGACCAAAAUUUAACAGUGCCAUCCGAGGAAAGAUUGGGUUGCCUCAUAGCAUCAAAUUAAGCAGACGACGUUCCCGAAGCAAAAGUCCAUUCAGAAAAGACAAGAGCCCUGUGAGAGAACCUAUUGAUAAUUUAACUCCUGAGGAAAGAGAUGCAAGGACAGUCUUCUGUAUGCAGCUGGCGGCAAGAAUUCGACCAAGGGAUUUGGAAGAGUUUUUCUCUACAGUAGGAAAGGUGCGAGAUGUGAGGAUGAUUUCUGACAGAAAUUCAAGACGUUCCAAAGGAAUUGCUUAUGUGGAGUUCGUCGAUGUUAGCUCAGUGCCUCUAGCAAUAGGAUUAACUGGCCAACGAGUUUUAGGCGUGCCAAUCAUAGUACAGGCAUCACAGGCAGAAAAAAACAGAGCUGCAGCAAUGGCAAACAAUUUACAAAAGGGAAGUGCUGGACCUAUGAGGCUUUAUGUGGGCUCAUUACACUUCAACAUAACUGAAGAUAUGCUUCGUGGGAUCUUUGAGCCUUUUGGAAGAAUUGAAAGUAUCCAGCUGAUGAUGGACAGUGAAACUGGUCGAUCCAAGGGAUAUGGAUUUAUUACAUUUUCUGACUCAGAAUGUGCCAAAAAGGCUUUGGAACAACUUAAUGGAUUUGAACUAGCAGGAAGACCAAUGAAAGUUGGUCAUGUUACUGAACGUACUGAUGCUUCGAGUGCUAGUUCAUUUUUGGACAGUGAUGAACUGGAAAGGACUGGAAUUGAUUUGGGAACAACUGGUCGUCUUCAGUUAAUGGCAAGACUUGCAGAGGGUACAGGUUUGCAGAUUCCGCCAGCAGCACAGCAAGCUCUACAGAUGAGUGGCUCUUUGGCAUUUGGUGCUGUGGCAGAUUUGCAAACAAGACUUUCCCAGCAGACUGAAGCUUCAGCUUUAGCUGCAGCUGCCUCUGUUCAGCCACUUGCAACACAAUGUUUCCAACUCUCUAACAUGUUUAACCCUCAAACAGAAGAAGAAGUUGGAUGGGAUACCGAGAUUAAGGAUGAUGUGAUUGAAGAAUGUAAUAAACAUGGAGGAGUUAUUCAUAUUUAUGUUGACAAAAAUUCAGCUCAGGGCAAUGUGUAUGUGAAGUGCCCAUCAAUUGCUGCAGCUAUUGCUGCUGUCAAUGCAUUGCAUGGCAGGUGGUUUGCUGGUAAAAUGAUAACAGCAGCAUAUGUACCUCUUCCAACUUACCACAACCUGUUUCCUGAUUCUAUGACAGCAACACAACUACUGGUUCCAAGUAGACGAUGAAGGAAGAUAUAGUCCCUUAUGUAUAUAGCUUUUUUUCUUUCUUGAGAAUUCAUCUUGAGUUAUCUUUUAUUUAGAUAAAAAUAAAGAGGCAAGGAUCUACUGUCAUUUGUAUACAAUUUCCUGUUACCUUGAAAAAAUAAAAAUGUUAACAGGAAUGCAGUGUGCUCAUUCUCCCUAAAUAGUAAAUCCCACUGUAUACAAAACUGUUCUCUUGUUCUGCCUUUUAAAAUGUUCAUGUAGAAAAUUAAUGAACUAUAGGAAUAGCUCUAGGAGAACAAAUGUGCUUUCUGUAAAAAGGCAGACCAGGGAUGUAAUGUUUUUAAUGUUUCAGAAGCCUAACUUUUUACACAGUGGUUACAUUUCACAUUUCACUAAUGUUGAUAUUUGGCUGAUGGUUGAGCAGUUUCUGAAAUACACAUUUAGUGUAUGGAAAUACAAGACAGCUAAAGGGCUGUUUGGUUAGCAUCUCAUCUUGCAUUCUGAUCAAUUGGCAAGAAAGGGAGAUUUCAAAAUUAUAAUAUUUCUUGAUGGUAUCUUUUCAAUUAAUGUAUCUGUAAAAGUUUCUUUGUAAAUACUAUGUGUUCUGGUGUGUCUUAAAAUUCCAAACAAAAUGAUCCCUGCAUUUCCUGAAGAUGUUUAAACGUGAGAGUCUGGUAGGCAAAGCAGUCUGAGAAAGAAAUAGGAAAUGCAGAAAUAGGUUUUGUCUGGUUGCAUAUAAUCUUUGCUCUUUUUAAGCUCUGUGAGCUCCGAAAUAUAUUUUUGGGUUACUUCAGUGUGUUUGACAAGACAGCUUGAUAUUUCUAUCAAACAAAUGACUUUCAUAUUGCAACAAUCUUUGUAAGAACCACUCAAAUAAAAGUCUCUUAAAAAGGCC